CGUAACAGGUUGUACCAGGAAAGUCACUGCGGGCAAGUGAGCGGACACUUCCAAAACGCGGUCAAGCCUAAACAUCGUUCAGCCAUCCGUUCUUCAGUUUCCUCCUGAAUUUAUGUGCGCGAAUACACAACAUUUUACGGUAUCGCGUGUUUUCUGAGCUGACUGAGGCCAUGUCAGCGGUGUGGAUCAGCUCCUCUCUACUGAGGUCCAGGGCAACUCACCUCAGACAGCUCAGUAUGUUCUCUAGAAGGGCUGUGUUACAACCUGUACAGGUGGUCUCCUCACUACAGAAGACAUGGACACCUGGGAACCCAACCUGGUGCUGUAGAUCCCUCCAUGUGGACAGUCCCCCCCUGGUCCCAGGGCAGAGCUUCAGCUACGUCCAUGGGGCCUCCUCAGUGUCCCUGCUGGGCCAGACGGUGGGUCAGAGUUUGCAGGCGGCAGCUGACCGCUGGCCCCACAGAGAGGCCCUGGUGUUCCUGCAGGAUGGAGUCCGUAAGACCUUCUCCCAGUUUCAGGAGGACGUUGACCAGGCCGCUGCAGGUCUCCUGGCCCUGGGUCUGAAGAGAGGGGACAGACUAGGAGUCUGGGGGCCCAACACAUACCACUGGAUCCUGUUUCAGUUCGCCACAGCCAAGGCCGGCAUCAUACUGGUGUCGAUAAACCCAGCCUAUCAGCUGAAGGAGCUGGAGUUCACCCUGGGGAAGGUGCAGUGUAAAGCUGUGGUGUGUCCCACCCAGUUUAAGACCCAGAGGUUCUGUGACAUGCUGAGACAGAUCUGCCCAGAGAUGGACACAGCAGAGUCAGGGGUCUUCAGGAGCUCCAGACUACCAGACCUGCGUAUGGUGAUUGUGACAGACAGCAGACAGACAGGGACUGUACAUGUAGAGGAUGUGAUGCAGGCUGGAAGCAGACAGCACCACCAGGAGCUGCAGGACCUGCAGACCAAACUGUCCUUCGACGACCCCAUCAACAUACAGUUCACAUCCGGAACAACAGGAAAUCCUAAAGGUGCCACCCUCUCCCACCACAACAUCGUCAACAACGCCUAUUUUGUGGGUCUACGUCUGGGAUUCAACUGGAAGCCUAUAAGAGCGUGUGUUCCUGUUCCCCUGUACCACUGCAUGGGCUCAGUGUUAGGAGCGAUGUGUUUGGCACUGCAUGGCAUCACCCUGGUCUUCCCCUCUGCUGGGUACGACAGCCGUGCCAACCUGGAGGCCAUUCAGAAUGAAAGGUGUAAUUUCCUCUACGGAACUCCUACCAUGUACAUUGACAUGCUUGGACAGCCUGACCUACACAACUAUGACCUGUCAUCAGUUGAAUCUGGGUUUAUGAGUGGGUCUCUUUGUCCUCCUGAAGUCAUGAGGAAACUCAAAACUGAUAUGAAUGUCAAUGAUAUGAUAAUAGGCUAUGGGACCACAGAGAACAGCCCUGUAACAUUCCUUGGUUUCCCGCGAGACAACGAGGAACUGAAGACCGAGACGGUGGGAUGUAUCCUGAACCACACAGAGGCGAAGGUGGUGGAUGUGUCCUCUGGAGAGGUGGUUCCUCUCGGGGAUCCAGGAGAGCUGCUGAUCAGAGCUUACUCUGUUAUGUUGGAGUACUGGGACGACCCAGACAAGACCAGUGAGGCGAUCGCCAAAGACCGCUGGUACAGAACCGGUGACAUAGCCAGUCUGGACAGGUUUGGGUACUGCCGUAUAGUGGGACGUAUAAAGGACAUGAUCAUACGUGGAGGAGAGAACAUCUACCCUGCUGAGAUAGAGAAGUUCCUUCACACCCAUCCCAACGUACAGGAGGCCCAGGUGAGAACCACACCCAUCCCAACGUACAGGAGGCCCAGGUGAGAACCACACCCAUCCCAACGUACAGGAGGCCCAGGUGAGAACCACACCCAUCCCAACGUACAGGAGGCCCAGGUGAGAACCACACCCAUCCCAACGUACAGGAGGCCCAGGUGAGAACCACACCCAUCCCAACGUACAGGAGGCCCAGGUGAGAACCACACCCAUCCCAACGUACAGGAGGCCCAGGUGAGAACCACACCCAUCCCAACGUACAGGAGGCCCAGGUGAGAACCACACCCAUCCCAACGUACAGGAGGCCCAGGUGAGAACCACACCCAUCCCAACGUACAGGAGGCCCAGGUGAGAACCACACCCAUCCCAACGUACAGGAGGCCCAGGUGAGAACCACACCCAUCCCAACGUACAGGAGGCCCAGGACUCGGCACCACUAGAGGGCAUUAGAGAAUAGAACAGCACCACAGUAACACCAUACAACCAAGUUACACAAAUCUAUCCAGGAAAUGUUAGUACCAGAACCUUUCAUUUCCUGUCUUAAUUUCUCAAUACUCAUAUCACCAUAUGAUGUCCAUACACAAUGUCAACAGUAGGUAUGGUUGGGUCAGUUAUGGUUGGGUCAGUUUUCUGAUUUUAGUGUAUCCAGGUGUUUAUAUUCUCUCCCUGUCCUGUCCACCUCUCUUUCUCCCCAGGUGUUUAUAUUCUCUCCCUGUCCACCUCUCUUUCUCCCCAGGUGUUUAUAUUCUCUCCCUCUCCUGUCCACCUCUCUUUCUCCCCAGGUGUUUAUAUUCUCUCCCUGUCCACCUCUCUUUCUCCCCAGGUGAUUAUAUUCUCUCCCUGUCCACCUCUCUUUCUCCCCAGGUGUUUAUAUUCUCUCCCUGUCCACCUCUCUUUCUCCCCAGGUGAUUAUAUUCUCUCCCUGUCCUGUCCACCUCUCUUUCUCCCCAGGUGAUUAUAUUCUCUCCCUGUCCUGUCCACCUCUCUUUCUCCCCAGGUGAUUAUAUUCUCUCCCUGUCCUGUCCACAUGUCUUUCUCCC